rnacentral:lncRNA from 1 species
GAAGAAGAAGAAGAAUAAGAGAAGAAUGGCCACGUUGAAUCGAGACACCCAGUGUACUAGCGCGUCUCGAAACGACUACAGCGUGUUCAUUGUUAUUAGUGACGGUUGCGAGUCGUGUCGAGUGUCACGAAUAAGUUCUACCCCGGAGCCUUUUACCUCGUUGACUCUUGACACCUUGAGAAACUUCCAUUCAUCUUAAACCCUUCAUUUCCCUUUAAGAACGCUCAAAAGUCAUUCUUUGGCCUCGAUACUGUAUCCUACGAUCAACGGAAUACUUAACUUUCGUGUGAGAAGAAAAUCAAGUAUUACUUGAAAGCUACUUUGAGUUAUUUCGUUCUCUCUUUCUCGCUAGAAGCGAGAUCGUGAGAAGUACUCCAGAUCGGGCCUGGCAGAAUCCAACAAAACAAGCAGACUCUCCCCCUUAAUGGCGGCUGAUCGUGUGCCGAAGGUUAUCCCCGGGUGAAAAUGAACCACUACUCGUGGAACAUCCUACUCGUUGUGCUGACCUCACCCUUGACACGAAUCGUCCUUUACCGAAGAGGGAGAUCAACAGACCGAACGAGAAACAUCCAAAGGAUUUGUAAUAAGGAGACUUGAGAGAGAAAAAUGAUGAAGAUGUAAGAGAAAGAAAGAGAAAGAAGAGAGGGAUAGGGAGGAAUAAGAAUAAGAAGAAUAAGAAGAAGAAGAAGAAGAAAAGGGAAGAAAGAUGCUCGCGGGUUCGGAGGAUCGGGCAUAGAAACAAAUGUACGCAUUAUGUAUUCUCGCUGCCAUUAAUUUGAGGCAGCACGUACAACAAAAUUGGCAAAUCAAUUCAACUGCUACUAAACGUUUACCGUCGCAAAUUUCGUUGAAUUUAUUAAAAUGCAUCGAAUUUAAUAACGUACCAAGGAAGACCGAAAAUUUACAAAAGGAUUUUCAAAAUAAUGUAAAAGUUAAUAACGAGAAUAACGAUCAAACAAUAUGGCGGAGUUCUUGGUUUUAUUUUCGAAAAAUUAUUAAAGAUCCUCGACAGAUCUUUAAUAAUAUUAACGAAUCAAUCACGAAUUCCAAAACUAUAACUAACCCCUUGUCAAAAACUAUCUACGACUCCGUAUUAUUUCUUCCAAAUAAUUCAUAAAAUGAAUACUUAAGUUUAACGAUUACUAUCAAGGAAAUAAAUCAAUGAACCGUUGAUAUAAAAAAAACAAUGAAGUCAAACUUUGAGCUGUAUUCCUAAUGGCGCCUUAGGAAUUCAAUUAAAAUACUCAAAGUAUAAAAAUAAAUCUACACGCUUAUUAACAAUCGUACGAUUAUCUCUGUAAUCUCAUUGAAAUGUAUAAAAAUAUGAGUGUA